ACGCGCACACACUCACGCAUACAUAUAUAUAUGUGUGUGUGUAUGUGUGUAUAU
rnacentral:miRNA from 1 species